rnacentral:tRNA from 1 species
UGAAGUGUAGCUCAGUGGUAGAGCACUUGCCUAGCAUUCUGGAGGGUCUGUGUUCAAUCCCAGCAGUACAA